rnacentral:rRNA from 1 species
GUAAGGAAUAUUGGUCAAUGGACGAAAGUCUGAACCAGCCAUGCCGCGUGAAGGAUGAAGGCCCUCUGGGUUGUAAACUUCUUUUAUCUGGGACGAAAAAAGGGUAUUCUUACUCACUUGACGGUACCAGAGGAAUAAGCACCGGCUAACUCCGUGCCAGCAGCCGCGGUAAUACGGAGGGUGCAAGCGUUAUCCGGAUUCACUGGGUUUAAAGGGUGCGUAGGUGGGUAUUUAAGUCAGUGGUGAAAUCUCCGAGCUUAACUCGGAAACUGCCAUUGAUACUAUUUACCUUGAAUGCCCUGGAGGUAAGCGGAAUAUGUCAUGUAGCGGUGAAAUGCUUAGAUAUGACAUAGAACACCAAUUGCGAAGGCAGCUUACUACGGGGUGAUUGACACUGAGGCACGAAAGCGUGGGGAGCAAACAGGAUUAGAUACCCCGGUAGUCC